GGCAGUUCUCGGGUGAUGCACCCUGGAAUCGGGCUCCCUCCUCUCUGGUUCCAGGUGCGUCACCUGAGAACCCGCA
rfam:Myotis davidii contig198864, whole genome shotgun sequence.